CAGUGGCAGUAUAGAUGGAGCUCUGGCAAACGAGUGCCAAGUAUAUUCACAUGAUGCCUGCCCUCUUCACCCUUAUCUUCUCUGUCCCUAUCCAGAUGGAACCUGCUGAAUGCACAUCCUAGUCAGGGAACUUCUUUCUCAUUGUCCCAAGAAGCAUCUGAGCCUUGGAAGCAGCUGUGGCUGACAAGUGAGGCAGAAGCAUCUGCCAAUAGAUGAGGGACGCCAGGAGGCAGGCUGAGGAAUCGCACAGAGAAAGAGAAGGGAAGAAGUCAGAAAACAUGAUCCCAUCACCGUCAGCACCUUAUUGAUGGAGAUUACUCCCCUCAAACUAAAAGCACACACACCUGGUUCAAUUUAUGAACUCGGGAUUAUACUACUUCUUGUUCUGACACCUGUUUUGUUUUGUUUUGUUUUUUUUCCUGUGUGG